rnacentral:rRNA from 1 species
GGCUACUGCUAUUGGGAUUCGACUAAGCCAUGCGAGUCAAGGUGUCUUCGGACGCCGGCGUACGGCUCAGUAACACGUAGGUAACCUACCCUCAGGACUGAGAUAACCCCGGGAAACUGGGGCUAAUAUUAGAUAGAUAAAAGAUACUGGAAUGUUCUUUUAUCCAAAGCUUUUGCGCCUGAGGAUGGGCCUGCGUCCGAUUAGGUUGUUGGUGGGGUAAUGGCCCACCAAGCCUACGAUCGAUACGGGCAGUGAGAGCUGAAGCCCGGAGUUGGGGACUGAGACAAGGCCCCAGGCCCUACGGGGCGCAGCAGGCGCGAAACCUCUGCAAUGCGGGAAACCGUGACAGGGGGAUCCCAAGUGCUCAUGCAUUGCAUGGGCUGUUCUUUGGUCUAAGUAACCAGAGGAGUAAGGGCUGGGCAAGACCGGUGCCAGCCGCCGCGGUAAUACCGGCAGCUCAAGUGGUAGCCGCGAUUAUUGGGCCUAAAGCGUUCGUAGCCGGAUAAGUAAGUCUUUGGUUAAAUCCUGCGACUUAACCGUGGGAAAUCUAGAGAUACUGCUUGUCUUGAGACCGGGAGAGGUUGGAGGUACUCCCAGGGUAGGGGUGAAAUCCUGUAAUCCUGGGGGGACCACCUGUGACGAAGGCGUCCAACUGGAACGGGUCUGACGGUGAGGGACGAAACCUAGGGGAGCGAGCCGGAUUAGAUACCCGGGUAGUCCUAGGCGUAAAUGAUGCGAGUUAAGUGUGGGGGCAUCCACGAGAUGGCCCUGUGCUGUAGGGUAGCCGUUAAACUCGCCGCCUGGGGAGUACGGUCGCAAGGCUGAAACUUAA